AUGGCCUCAUGUCCAGCAGCGCAUUUUAGUAUUCCACUCCUGGGCUGGACUGGCUGUCCUCUGCUCUGCUCAGGCUGGUUAAUCACAGGCCCUGUGGGGUAUGAGGCCAGUGUGUCCACAACGGGCCCACUGUUCCUCUGGCCAACGAAGGAGAUUAGAGCCACAGUGAUCGGCCAUUCUGCGAUCAGAGGCCUCCAUGUAUACACACUAUGCUCACUAACAACAGCCCUUGGGAAGCCCCCCUCACCCACCAACACACCACUUGGACUCUGAUCGGCUCUCCACAUCAGGGUUCUGACUUCUAAGAAUAACACAAGUAGUAUGUCUUUCAUUACGGGGAAUACUAUUAACAUCACAACAUGCUACAGAGGAUUCUCUCUAUCUAGAGUCCACAGUGAUACACUGAGUGUCAAUGUUUUGUGACCCACACCUGACACCCAGUGGUGAAACCGCAUGCUGGUUUGUGUUAAAAUGUACAUACUGUAUAUUACUCUUAGAAAUGUUCCUGUAUGCCGGGCCAGUCGGAUAUUUGGGGAUCAUGUUGAGAUCUGAAAGUUCAAGUUAGAUGAAUCCUGAAUUUGAAUUCUUAAUGUUGAAAUAACGUAAUGUUGGUGGAAAUGUGAUCCACGUCUAUAAUCAGACUUUUAGUGUAUGCUCAUGUGUAUACCUGUGUGUGGGUGCGUGGGUGCUGUGGAACCUUAUCACAGGAAGGGCUGGGGGUGGAUUUAUGACUUAGGCUACCAAACAACCAACAAAAAAGUUUCCAUUCACAAACAAGAUUAUUAUCUGAGUCGACAACCUGUGCACCAUACUGCUGCAUCACGGGAACACUGUACACAAUGUACACAAUGUAAAACACACCUCACUGGAGUGGAAACAUUUCGAACAAUAAUAAAAUAAAUCAUAAAUUGGUGGAAUGCUGUAAAAGAAAUAAAUACAUACAUACAUAGGCAGAAAGUAGACAUGCAGUACUGAAGUGGAACAUCGAGGGUUUCUCCACAAGCUUUGGUAUGUGUCUACUUGCUUACGUCAAGAUGUCAGACAAGAUACAGGAAGUACAACAGUACCUGUUUUAACUAGUAACCAAAACAAACACCUACUUCAUACAUGCUUUCAGACAUCAUGUAUUAUCCAACUAAAUAGGUACAUUUCAAUUCAGACCUAUUAUACAGCAGUGUCUGUGCGUACUAGUCUGAUCCCUACAGACAUAAAUGUAUUUACUUUCAGUGGAAGGUGUUUAAAUCUGUAAGGUGUUUAUUGUUUGAUGCAUUAUAUCUGGAAGAACCUGGGAAUGUGACCAUCUGCCUGGAGGCAAAUGGACAUGUAAAAUGACAUGCAAACAAUAAUGCAAAACACUGGUAUAUCUAGUAUCCCAGGUUGAAUACAAACAUGCAAACAUCACACGGAAUACUUCAGCCUUAACUGAAACAAUUAAAAGCGGUCAAAAGGCUGAGAGAUGGUUCCUCUGAAAUGCAUACAGAAUUAUUUAGGCAGUCUUUAGUCAACUGAAAACCAAUUAGGAUUUCCGAUGAUGACCUGGCCAAAGGCAUUCAAUCGCAAGUUGAUAAGAAGACAUACAUAAAAAUGCACAAAGUAUGUAAAACAAAAUAGAAAUUAACCCAAUUUACAAGGUAAACAGAUAAUAAAUAUCAAAUAACAUUAAAUACAGUGGGACAGAUCAACAGAUAGGUUUGACGCAUUCACAGGAUACAUAGAUCAGAUAGCGGCACAUUUAUUAAAGUGUGAUGAGAUAUUCAAGUUCAAGAGUCUUUCGCAAUUUGUUCC
rnacentral:lncRNA from 1 species